rnacentral:rRNA from 1 species
GACGGAGGGUGCAAGCGUUGUUCGGAUUGACUGGGCGUAAAGGGCGUGUAGGCGGUUGGUCAAGACGGGUGUGAAAGCCUGAGGCUCAGCCUCAGAAGUGCAUCCGAAACUAGCCAGCUGGAGCGCGAUAGAGGAGGGUGGAAUUCCUGGUGUAGCGGUGAAAUGCGUAGAUAUCGGAAGGAACACCAGUGGCGAAAGCGACUUCCUGGUCCAAUACUGACGUUCAUGUGCGAAAGCGUGGGGAGCAAACAGG